UACGUAGGGUGCAGGCGUUAAUCGGAAUUACUGGGCGUAAAGCGCACGUAGGCGGAUUUGUAAGUCAGGGGUGAAAUCCCGGGGCUCAACUCCAGAACUGCCUUUGAUACUGAGGAUCUUGAGUUCGGGAGAGGUGAGUGGAACUGCGAGUGUAGAGGUGAAAUUCGUAGAUAUUCGCAAGAACACCAGUGGCGAAGGCGGCUCACUGGCCCGAUACUGACGCUGAGGCACGAAAGCGUGGGGAGCAAACAGG
rnacentral:rRNA from 1 species